rnacentral:rRNA from 1 species
AGAGAUGCUUUGGUGCCUUCGGGAACUCUGAGACAGGUGCUGCAUGGCUGUCGUCAGCUCGUGUUGUGAAAUGUUGGGUUAAGUCCCGCAACGAGCGCAACCCUUAUCCUUUGUUGCCAGCGGUCCGGCCGGGAACUCAAAGGAGACUGCCAGUGAUAAACUGGAGGAAGGUGGGGAUGACGUCAAGUCAUCAUGGCCCUUACGAGUAGGGCUACACACGUGCUACAAUGGCGCAUACAAAGAGAAGCGACCUCGCGAGAGCAAGCGGACCUCAUAAAGUGCGUCGUAGUCCGGAUUGGAGUCUGCAACUCGACUCCAUGAAGUCGGAAUCGCUAGUAAUCGUAGAUCAGAAUGCUACGGUGAAUACGUUCCCGGGCCUUGUACACACCGCCCGUCACACCAUGGGAGUGGGUUGCAAAAGAAGUAGGUAGCUUAACUUUCGGGAGGGCGCUUACCACUUUGUGAUUCAUGACUGGGGUGAAGUCGUAACAAGGUAAGCGUAGCGAG